rnacentral:lncRNA from 1 species
UUUUAUCUAAAUUAUGCGUGUUGCCCAUUUUUAUAUAGGUUUAUGUAUUUUAUUUUAUUUUAUUUAUGACAUUGAGAUUAAAGCACGAUGGUGAAGGAGAUCAUAAUUUCAAAUAUUAAGAGAUUAGAACAAUCUUUUCCAAAUUUUCUGUUGCAUAAUGUUGAACCGACUGCGGUUUAGGAGGGCAUCAGAUUAUGAGUUAAAGUUUUCAGGGUUUCUUCAAAUUUGGUUACACCUUUCUGAAAAUCAUUCUGAUACUAUGUGCCAAAAUCAUUUGUUGAAUUAUUCAGCACCUGGCAUCUUUCCUCGUGUUUAUUAUUCUGAAGCUGUUGCAUGAAAUUGUAUUCUCAUUUAGUAUCUUUUAUAAGUAUCUACUUGUGCAGAAAGCAGCCCAAGAAUUAAGCAGUGGCCCCUCACCAGGUGAUGAUUGGAGAUCUGCUUUUGAUGCUGCCAUUGCCAGUGGUCGAUCAGACUCUUUUGGGGAUUCUUCUAGGUUUGGAUCCAAUGGUCACAAUCGUCGAUAUAGCUAGUGACCCUGCCCAAAAUGGUGAUGACAAACCCAGGCAGCCGCCGUACCCCUAAUCGAUUGCCACCUGCACCGCCCCGUCUGACCCCGGUUAUAGAUUUUAGAUGUAGACAUACUCCAAGACGAAUCCGAUUCAUGCAUUCUUGCAGGGUAGGUGUUUGGUCCUGCUCUUUAUAUUGAGUUCCUUUGUUUGAGCUCAAAUUAUGUUAUAUUUAUAUUGUCUUAUUGACCUUGUGCUUGCAGUUGCUGGACUGGAAGUGUUGUACUUUCAAUGUGCCUAUUGAUUUACCAUAGAUUUUGUUGGAUGUUUGAAUGAUGGUACAAAAUCCAAUUCUCUCAAUAUAAUUACUUAAAAGUGUACUCUAAAACUACUGGUGGUUUCGAACGUACAUGUGUGGGUAAAGUUUCAAGUUUUACAUUAGCAAUAGCACCA